rnacentral:rRNA from 1 species
UCUCGGCUCUCGCAUCGAUGAAGAACGUAGCGAAAUGCGAUACUUGGUGUGAAUUGCAGAAUCCCGUGAACCAUCGAGUUUUUGAACGCAAGUUGCGCCCAAAGCCAUUAGGCUAAGGGCACGUCUGCCUGGGCGUCACGCAUCACGUCGCCCCAACCCCA